rnacentral:precursor_RNA from 1 species
CUCAUUUUUGGAGAAUAUGUUUGGGCUCAGAUUACGCUUUAGUGCAAGAGCGUAUUAGUCUGCGUCUCACUGUACAAAAAUGA